UACGGAGGGGGCUAGCGUUGUUCGGAAUUACUGGGCGUAAAGCGCACGUAGGCGGACUGGAAAGUCAGAGGUGAAAUCCCAGGGCUCAACCUUGGAACUGCCUUUGAAACUAUCAGUCUGGAGUUCGAGAGAGGUGAGUGGAAUUCCGAGUGUAGAGGUGAAAUUCGUAGAUAUUCGGAGGAACACCAGUGGCGAAGGCGGCUCACUGGCUCGAUACUGACGCUGAGGUGCGAGAGCGUGGGGAGCAAACAGG
rnacentral:rRNA from 1 species